rnacentral:rRNA from 1 species
UACGUAGGGAGCGAGCGUUGUCCGGAAUCAUUGGGCGUAAAGGAGCAUGUAGGUGGAUCAGUUAGUCUGCUGUGAAAGUCAAAGGCUCAACCUUUGAAAGCCGGUGGAUACUGUUGAUCUAGAGUACGGAAGAGGCGAGUGGAAUUCCUGGUGAUAGCGGUGGAAUGCGCAGAUAUCAGGAGGAACACCAAUAGCGAAGGCAGCUCGCU